rnacentral:antisense_RNA from 1 species
CUUCAGCGACCCCAACCACAGCGGGCGAUCCUCCGGCCGAUCCUGCCCAUAAGUCUCUAGCAGGGCCUGGGCCUC